rnacentral:rRNA from 1 species
UGGGGGAUAUUGCACAAUGGGCGAAAGCCUGAUGCAGCGACGCCGCGUGGGGGAUGAAGGCUUUCGGGUUGUAAACCUCUUUCGCUAUCGAACAAGGCCCGCUUAGGGUGGGUUGAGGGUAGGUGGAGAAGAAGCGCCGGCUAACUACGUGCCAGCAGCCGCGGUAAUACGUAGGGCGCGAGCGUUGUCCGGAAUUAUUGGGCGUAAAGGGCUUGUAGGCGGCUUGUUGCGCCUGCUGUGAAAACGCGGGGCUUAACUUCGCGCGUGCAGUGGGGUCGGGCAGGCUUGAGUGUGGUAGGGGUGACUGGGAUUCCAGGUGUAGCGGUGGAAUGCGCAGAUAUCUGGAGGAACACCGAUGGCGAAGGCAGGUCACUGGGCCAUUACUGACGCUGAGGAGCGAAAGCAAGGGUAGCGAACAGG